rnacentral:tRNA from 1 species
GUUUGUGGCUCAGUGGUAGAGCACUCAUCUAGCACUUGUGAGACUGGGUUCAAUCCUCAGCACAAACA